rnacentral:rRNA from 1 species
CACGUAGGGCGCAAGCGUUGUCCGGAAUUAUUGGGCGUAAAGAGCUCGUAGGCGGUCUGUUGCGUCCGCUGUGAAAACUCGGGGCUUAACCCCGAGCCUGCAGUGGAUACGGGCAGACUAGAGGUAGGUAGGGGAGAAUGGAAUUCCCGGUGUAGCGGUGAAAUGCGCAGAUAUCAGGAGGAACACCGAUAGCGAAGGCAGCUCGCUGGGACGGUACUGACGCUGAGGCGCGAAAGCGUGGGGAGCGAACAGG